AAGCCAAAAAAGCGCGUUUUGGCCGGCAAGCAAGGCGUUUGGUUGAAACACCUAACAAGUAACACAACCACUUUUCCAGCCUUUCACAACUACACCUCUUUACAUUUCUUUUAGAGUUUCUUAAAUUAUAUUUUUAUUUCAUUUUAUUAAUAAAAUUAUUAAAGCUAAUCUAAAGGAUAAAGCAUAUUAAUAUUUGGGUAUAAAAUGUUAUAAAUCAUCCUCUUGCAGUUCUUUUCCGCUUUUCCAAGCCUUACCCUUUUCCUGUUUUCUCUCACCGCUUCUCAUUUUUGCUUCUCUCUUGCCUUUGCCGGAAAACCGCUUCUCUCCACCGGGAAACUGCUAUUUAUCCGACGAAGGGAGUCAAAUUUGCCGGAAAGCAUCUUUCAACUUUCGAUAAUUUCGCGUAUAGUGCGGGCGUUUCUUUUCGUGAUUCGGAUUUGGAUCUCCGAAUUUGACCAGGUCCGGUUGUAUACGCGUCUCGUUGUGCGAAUGUGGCGAGUUUGGUUGACGUUUGAUACUUUGUUUUGAUAGCAUAUGGCGAAGAUCGUGACCUAACGUUUGGUAUUUGCUGAUUUUGCGGCUUCUUCUUGUUUUCAUUUUCCAUUGGAUUGUUUGUUUUGGUGAAUCCCGGCAAAACGGUGGCGCGCGAACAACCAUUGCGGCAUGAGAUGGUGGAAGGAAGGGUUCGUUUGUCAAAGGAGGUUAAAAACCGGUUAGAGUUUUUGAAGCAUAAAAAGCUUCAACAAAUAAAAUCAGAAUCUUCCUCUGGGACAUCUUAUCUCAUAAAUAUGAUGGCUAGAAGUGGAGGAGAUGCUCUGAGAAUUUCAGCAUCAUGUGGAAUGAGGUUACAGGGGAAUGCAGGAUCAUUUUCCAGGUCAAACAGCGCUUCAUGUGAGAAUGAUGUCUUUUCUAAGAACAAGGUUGAUAAGUUUGACACGAGUGAUCUAGAAUGGACUGAGAAAAUUCCAGAAUGUCCCGUGUACUGCCCAACAAAGGAAGAGUUUGAAGAUCCUUUGGUCUAUUUGCAGAAGAUAGCUCCUGAAGCUUCAAGAUAUGGUAUUUGCAAGAUUGUUUCCCCUCUAGUUGCUACUGUUCCCGCUGGAGUUGUAUUGAUGAAGGAGAAAGUAGGAUUCAAGUUCACAACUAGAGUACAGCCUUUUCGUCUUGCUGAGUGGGAUACUGAUGACAAAGUCACCUUUUUCAUGAGUGGAAUAAAUUAUACAUUUCGUGAUUUCGAGAAAAUGGCGAACAAGGUGUUUGGUCGUAGAUAUUAUAGUGCUGGUUGUCUUUCGGCAACUUACUUGGAAAAAGAAUUUUGGCAUGAAAUUGCUUAUGGGAACACAGAAAGUGUUGAAUAUGCUUGUGAUGUUGAGGGUAGUGCCUUUUCUUCUUCUCCCAGUGACCCACUUGGAAGUAGCAAAUGGAAUUUGGAGCGACUCUCACGGCUGCCAAAGUCCACCUUGCGUCUUCUUGAAACAGCAAUUCCGGGUGUAACUGACCCUAUGCUUUACAUAGGAAUGCUAUUUAGUAUGUUUGCUUGGCACGUGGAGGAUCAUUAUUUGUAUAGCAUUAAUUAUCAUCACUGCGGGGCUUCGAAAACUUGGUAUGGUAUACCUGGUCAUGCUGCAUCAAAAUUUGAGAAGGUUGUCAGAGAACAUGUGUACACUAAUGAUAUCCUAUCUGCGGAUGGUGAAGAUGGAGCUUUUGAUGUGCUUUUGGGUAAAACGACAUUAUUUCCUCCAAGUAUUUUGUUGAAACAUGAUGUCUCUGUCUACAAGGCUGUGCAGAAGCCGGGAGAGUUUGUAAUUACCUUUCCAAGGGCAUAUCAUGCUGGAUUUAGUCAUGGUUUCAACUGUGGUGAGGCUGUGAACUUUGCUAUUGGUGAUUGGUUUCCUUUAGGGGCUAUAGCAAGCUUGCGUUAUGCACAUCUCAACAGGGCACCUCUCCUUCCUCACGAGGAACUUCUGUGCAAAGAAGCAAUGCUUCUCUAUACAAGUUUAGAACUGGAAGAUUUGGAUUAUUCACUGGCAGACUUUGCUGCUCAUCAUUGCAUCAAGGUUUCGUUUGUAAAACUAAUGCGUUUCGUGCACCGGGCGCGUUGGUCUGUCAUGAAAUCAAGGGCAUGCACUAGUAUAUCCCCAAACUAUUAUAGAACUAUUGUCUGCACUUUAUGCAAACGCGAUUGUUAUGUUGCUUUCAUUAACUGCAGCUGUAAUGGUCAUCCUGUUUGCCUGCGACAUGAUAUCAGGUCACUAAACCUACCAUGUGGGAGCUAUCGUUAUCUUUUCUUGAGGGAUGAUGUUGCAGAGAUGGAGGCCGCUGCCAAGAAGUUUGAGCAAGAUGAUGCCAUAUCAAAAGAAAUCGAGCAACAAGUUGAAAAUGGUGAUGACUUGUAUUUGUUUCCACUGUCAAAUAAGUUGCAGACUGAUGUAGAGGAUGGAUACUUUCCAUACUGUGAGAUUAAUGUUGUUUUGGGUCCUGAUAUUGCCCCAAUAAAUACAAUGGUUCAACCACUAGAACAUAUAUCGUCUAUGAACCAUGGAAAAUUUCAACCUGAAUUGAUUGAUGCUUUCUCUACUUUUGCCACAUCAAGUCUUUGUACUAAUUUGGAGCAAGUCGGAUCGUCACCAAAAACUGUACAGAGGGUAGCUAACCAAGUAAGCAUUAAUGGUGAAAGAUUCCCUGAAGAAGUCUCAGAGAAAACAUAUGAAUUGUCUGUUUCCUGUUUGUCACGUGAAGAUCAUCGAAGUAUCCAUCAGGAUAAUGUUCAUGACCCAGUGAGCAGGUCUAUAGUGGAUGAAAACAGUGAUAGUUCCGAUUCACCAAUAUUUAGGGUUAAACGUCCUUUUUCGAAGGUUGAGAAAAGAUUUGGGAAUGAUACCAUAUCAUCAAAGAACUCAGAACACCAGGCGUUCAAACGAUUAAAGAAACUACAACAUGAAGGAAGAUGUGGGCGACCAGUGGCAUAUGAAUCUGAAUGCUGUAGAAACGACGAACCAAACCGCAAUACAAAUUGUAGUUCUGAUUCUAAAGAAGCUCUGGAGAAUGCCGUGAAGGACAGACUUGGAAGAGGCACACUUCCCAUUCCCAUUUCUAUAAAAUAUAAGAAGAUGGGCAGUGAGGCAGGAAUGAGUAGCAGGCGGCGAGAGCACCACAGAAAUGAUAGGUUCCAGCAGGAGUUAGGAAAGCGCAAGAGGGAUUCUCCUUCAGAGAUAGGUCCAAAGCGCCUUAAAGUGAGAGGCCCAAGCCCAAUACAUCUAGGUUCAGAAAGCAGACUGGUUUGAAGUUAUAGAUGUGCAGAAACUGAUGGCUGGUGAUUGGGUCCUGACUCUGGAGCUUGACUUGGCUAACUUCAUUCCUUCUAAAUGGGGGUUCCAACAAUAAAAUUCCAAAGAUAUAGAUGUGCAGAAACUGAUGGCUGGUGAUUGGGUCCUGACUCUGGAGCUUGACUUGGCUAACUUCAUUCCUUCUAAAUGGGGGUUCUAACAAUAAAAUUCCAAAUGACCGAUUCAACUAAGGGGUAGCAGCGGAAGAUUAACCAAGCUUAGGACAUUAAUAUUUUUAUUCUUUGUGCAGGCCUCCAAAACUGGGGCAAAUUGCACGUCCUAGUUGUGAUUCUUAUGGUUCUCACUCAGGCCCGGGGUGUUUUUCCUUCGAUGGCUGGAGAACCAACCUUAAUGCAGCAAAAGCUGAAAAGUAGAAUUCGGUUGGCAAUGUCGGAUGGGCCUGCAAUGUUAAGCUUUGGGUGCACAAGCCAGCAACGGCCUUUUUUUGCUGUGGUGGUUUGGAAACUAGUGGGAAGCAAAAGGAGGAAGGAAGGGGAGUAUUGUUAGUUUUCAUGGGGUCUAGAAAUGGGUCUCCUCUGCGUUGAAGCAAUUGUGUCAAUGCUGGGGGUCCUGUAUGGACCACUGUCCUGUUUCCAUAAGUAGCCAUUUCUAACAAGUCGAGACAAUUCCAUGGUUGCCACAUCCUUUUUAAUUCUAUUCAGAAGUGCAAACAACGUAGCCAUAAUGUUUGUUCCA